CUACGGGCGGCUCCAGUGAGGAAUAUUGCACAAUGGGGGGAACCCUGAUGUAGCAACGCCGCGUGGAGGAUGACGCAUUUCGGUGUGUAAACUCCUUUUAUAUGUCAAGAAAAUGACGGUAGCAUAUGAAUAAGCACCGGCUAACUCCGUGCCAGCAGCCGCGGUAAUACGGAGGGUGCAAGCGUUACUCGGAAUCACUGGGCGUAAAGGACGCGUAGGCGGGUUGGAAAGUCAGGUAUGAAAUCCUACAGCUUAACUGUAGAACUGCACUUGAAACUUCUAAUCUAGAGUAUGGGAGGGGGAGAUGGAAUUAGUGGUGUAGGGGUAAAAUCCGUAGAUAUCACUAGGAAUACCUAAAGCGAAGGCGAUCUCCUGGAACAUUACUGACGCUAAGGCGUGAAAGCGUGGGGAGCAAACAGGAUUAGAUACCCGAGUAGUC
rnacentral:rRNA from 1 species